rnacentral:rRNA from 1 species
GUCUAUGGCCAUGCCACCCUGAACAAGCCUGAUCAGUAUUGGGAUGAGAGACCACCUAGGAAGACCAGGUGCUGUAGGCA